rnacentral:rRNA from 1 species
GAUGCCUUGGCAGCCAGAGGCGAUGAAGGACGUUGUAGCUUGCGAUAAGCUUCGGGGAGGUAGCAAACAACCUUUGAUCCGGAGAUUUCCGAAUGGGGAAACCCACCUGUCAUAAGGCAGGUAUCGCAUACUGAAUACAUAGGUAUGCGAGGCGAACGAGGGGAACUGAAACAUCUAAGUACCCUUAGGAACAGAAAUCAAUUGAGAUUCCGUCAGUAGCGGCGAGCGAACGCGGAUUAGCCCUU